ensembl:lncRNA
AGUGACUGCUGGUGAGUUCUUCUGAGGACAUGCUGGGUGUAGUUUCUUUAAAAAUACGUCAUGGUAUCAUUACAGAUGGCAGCAGUUAGGGAUUAUCCUCAGUAUUUAGCAAGAGCAAUCUUAUUUGGCUACAAAGCUUUUUAUUGAGCUUCUUGAGUAGGUUUUAUUGGAGGUUAUAUCUAUCAACCAAAUUAAAUUGAACUUCUCUGGGCAGAGUUCAGUUCUACCCCAUUUCAAACUGUGAGUGUUGCCAAAAAUAGAAUGUGUCUAUUAUGGAGAAUGAUCUUAAUUUUGUCACUAUAGAUACUUUUUGUUAAGGCACCUGUAAUGCUGCCCCUGCUUCUCCUGCACUAACUAACUUGGAGGGACAUAUGGAAGGAUUUAGAUUUCUAAUGAUUUGCCAUUACUUUUUCUCAGACGUUUGCAGCAACAGGGAACAGGAUCAGAGUUGUCUUGGCCAGGGAAAAGCUAGCAAUAGUCUAAAGGUCAGAGUUAUUACAGGUUGGUCGGUGUCAAUGACCUCUGUUUUCUGAGCUCAUCUAGUUUCUGUAAUAACUUUCACUCCUCUAUAGCUUGCACACUGAGAAUGUGGUCGUAAAUCCUAACUUCUGUUUGUUCCCAUAUGGUCUGGAAGGGAAGUUUUACCAGAGAACUGAGGCAUGUUGAUAAGAAGACUCAGAAGUCCUCCUUUCAAUUUGUCUGUACAAGCGCACAUUUUCAAAGACAUGAAAACAUAAGUGCAGUUAAGCAAAUGCCAGCAUGCAUCUUGCUUUCUAAAUUCUUUAAAUAAUAAAUAGUAAAAGGUGGAGUGAAAGGCACUUGAUUUGGAGUCUACUGAACCCUGCCUCUCUGCAUGAUCUGUCUCCACCCCUUCCUGUCUGGAUAACUGGAGUACUCCUCCUCAACUCCCAAUCCCAAAUAUCGCAGAAGAGUUGUAGCAGCAUUUGGGAACUGGAUGGGUAGCAGCAGCAGGAGGAGCAACACUGUCAGCAGAACUGGUUUUCUUCUUUUUGUGUUUAGAGAAAUCUAGCUGGUAUCUCACUGAACAGAAGCAGCGAGCUGGGCUAAAACAGAAUCUGGUACUCCAGGUAUGUGAUGGCAAACUGGUCCACAAAGACUGAGUUGGCAGCAGAGAAAGGCUAACUGUUAACUAUAUUGAAUGGGAGAAAUCUGAAACUGCUAAGCAAUUAGAAAUGACUCUUUGAAAAUGCACUAAACAUUGCAGGAAAAAAUCACUCUGUGAAAGAAAGACCUUUAUUUUGGUUUUAGUAAACAGCUGCACGAAGACAAGAAUUAAGGAGUGGCUAAGGUGUAGAAGGGUGUCAACUUUGGGAAAGACUGAAUUUCAUUCUGAAUAUCUGCUGUGAGCUGUGGCACAGUAGCAGUUCUGAGGACACGCCAUGAUUCCCAGCAUAUUUCCCACUGUGCACACAGGUCCAUGGCUCUGUUUAAUACUGAAAUAGUUAUUUCUCAUCCUAGGUAUUAUCCUUUAUUUAAUAGACGCCUUAAUGAUGGCAUCUAUUGACUUCAUCCAGCGUCGCCUGAAGGAAAUAAUGCUCAGCCUUGGGAACAAGCAGCUAUUUCUGCCCUGUUGUUUCUCCUCUUCCCCUGUCUGAUCCUCUUUGAGACUGAUUCUGUUCUGCUUUAUUUCUUUUUGACAGCAACUCCUAUAUUUCA